CCAUAUUAUGUUAAAACGCUGGUUCUCAUAUGAUUACCAAAGUUAAGCAAUAUUAAGCCUGGUCAGUACCUAGAUGGGUGACUGCUUGACAAUACCAGGUGCUGUAAG